rnacentral:ncRNA from 1 species
AACCGGGCUGACCCAGUGCUGAGAGCGGUGAUAAUGGAUAGAUCGUAAAGACGCUGCAAGUACGUCCCUGUAAGCUCGAGCCGCGCCAUCCUUGGCGCGGACGCUUU